UACAGAGGGUGCGAGCGUUGUUCGGAUUUACUGGGCGUAAAGGGUGUGUAGGCGGUUCUUUAAGUUUGGUGUGAAAUCUCCCGGCUCAACCGGGAGGGUGCGCCGAAUACUGAGGGACUAGAGUAUGGGAUGGGAAAGUGGAAUUCCUGGUGUAGCGGUGAAAUGCGUAGAUAUCAGGAGGAACACCUGUGGUGUAGACGGCUUUCUGGACCAUAACUGACGCUGAGACACGAAAGCGUGGGUAGCAAACAGG
rnacentral:rRNA from 1 species